rnacentral:rRNA from 1 species
UCCGGUUGAUCCUGCCGGAGGUUACUGCUAUCCGAAUUCGACUAAGCUAUGCGAGUCUGGGGUUAAACCCAGGCGUACUGCUCAGUAACACGUAGUUAAUCUGCCCUUAGAAUCGGUCUAAUCCCGGGAAACUGGGGCCGAGGACCGGAUAGGUAAGGGGUACUGGAAUGUCCCUUUACUCAACUAAGGAUGAGACUGCGGCCUAUCAGGUUGUUGCCAGGGUAAAGUCCUGGCGAGCCUAUAACAGGUACGGGCCUUGAGAGAGGAAGCCCGGAGUUGGAUUCUGAGACAUGAAUCCAGGCCCUACGGGGUGCAGCAAGCGCGAAACAUCCGCAAUGCCCGCAAGGGUGACGGUGGAAUUUGGAGUGCUUUCUCCGAUAGGAGGGAGCUUUUGUCAAGUCUAGAUAGCUUGGCGAAUAAGUGGUGGGUAAGACGGGUGCCAGCCGCCGCGGUAAUACCCGCGCCACAAGUUGUAACCAUUAUUAUUGGGUUUAGAGCGUUCGUAGCCGGCCUUGAAAGUUUCCGAUGAAAUCCCGCAGCUAACUGCGGGGCUUGUCGGGGAUACUGCAAGGCUUGGGACCGGGAGAGGUCAAAGGUAUUCCUGGGGUAGGAGUAAAAUCCUAUAAUCCCAGGAGGACCAGCUGUGGCGAAGGCGUUUGACUAGAACGGAUCCGACGGUGAGGGACGAAAGCCAGGGGAGCAAAGCGGAUUAGAUACCCGCGUAGUCCUGGCUGUAAACGAUGCCCACUAGACAUUGGUAACCCCAUGCGGGUUAUCAGAGUCGUAGGGAAACCGUUAAGUGGCCACCUGGGGAGUACGUCGCAAGGCUGAAACUUAAGGAUUGGCGGGGGAGCACACAAGGGUGAGCUGCGUUUAAUGAUUCACGCCGGA